GCAGGCGAGUAUCUGAAUCCGUCAACUGGCUGUAUAGCCUGUCCAGCAGAUCAAUGGAGUGCUGCAGCAAACUCAGCUUCUACCUGCACGCCAUGUCCAGCUGAAAAAGGGGUAGCCUCUGGAGCAGGAACACAAGAAAGUGACUGCACAUGGAAAGAUUGUGUUGCGGGCGAGUAUCUGAAUUCGUCAACUGGCUGUAUAGCCUGUCCGGCACAUCAAUGGAGUGCUGCAGCAAACUCAGCUUCUACCUGCACGCCAUGUCCAGCUGAAAAAGGGGUAGCCUCUGGAGCAGGAACACAAGAAAGUGACUGCACAUGGAAAGAUUGUGUUGCGGGCGAGUAUCUGAAUCCGUCAACUGGCUGUAUAGCCUGUCCGGCAGAUCAAUGGAGUGCUGCAGCAAACUCAGCUUCUACCUGCACGCCAUGUCCAGCUGAAAAAGGGGUAGCCUCUGGAGCAGGAACACAAGAAAGUGACUGCA